rnacentral:sRNA from 1 species
UAUUCCUUUCAAUAUUAAUACAAGUAUAUGCCUAUUACAUUGUUUGAUCCCUAGUUUACUGCUCUAAUCGUAUCAGGAGCACACACCAAGUUGUUAACCCGGUUCAUGGCGUUAACGAGCCACUACAUCCGGUCGGGAUCAACAGAUCCCCAAUAUAUACUAUAAUCAGAGACAAGUUUACAAAGAUCACUCAAGUGACAUCUUUGGAUCUUUACUGCUACCAAAGACUCACUCAUAACACUCUGUAACACUUAAGAUAACUCUCCCCAAGCUUACACUCUUACAAGUUUUCUCUCUACCCGAUUACAUCUCUCUCUUUACAUUGUGUCUCUCUGUCACUCUUCUUUAGGCCGCUUGGCUUGCGACAACCAACCUUGUGUGUCUUCAAGAGUACUUAUACAGAGACACUCCUUAGACCUAAUGCUUCUACCAAACGCUCCUUUUGCAAUCACAAAUGGACAAAGUGUCCUUCUUGGCCAGCAAUGCACAAGGCUCCUCCUUGUGGUCCCAAAAGCAUAACUCAACCA